rnacentral:rRNA from 1 species
UACGUAGGGGGCGAGCGUUGUCCGGAUUUAUUGGGCGUAAAGAGCUCGUAGGCGGUUCGGCAAGUCAGAUGUAAAAACUCCAGGCUCAACUUGGAGAGGCCAUCUGAUACUGCCGUGACUAGAGUCCGGUAGAGGAGCACGGAAUUCCUGGUGUAGCGGUGAAAUGCGCAGAUAUCAGGAGGAACACCAACGGCGAAGGCGGUGCUCUGGGCCGGAACUGACGCUGAGGAGCGAAAGCGUGGGGAGCGAACAGG